UAGGGAAUCUUCCACAAUGGACGCAAGUCUGAUGGAGCAACGCCGCGUGAGUGAAGAAGGUCUUCGGAUCGUAAAGCUCUGUUGUUGGUGAAGAAGGAUAGAGGCAGUAACUGGUCUUUAUUUGACGGUAAUCAACCAGAAAGUCACGGCUAACUACGUGCCAGCAGCCGCGGUAAUACGUAGGUGGCAAGCGUUGUCCGGAUUUAUUGGGCGUAAAGCGAGCGCAGGCGGAAUGAUAAGUCUGAUGUGAAAGCCCACGGCUCAACCGUGGAACUGCAUCGGAAACUGUCAUUCUUGAGUGCAGAAGAGGAGAGUGGAACUCCAUGUGUAGCGGUGGAAUGCGUAGAUAUAUGGAAGAACACCAGUGGCGAAGGCGGCUCUCUGGUCUGCAACUGACGCCGAGGCUCGAAAGCAUGGGUAGCGAACAGGAUUAGAUACCCUGGUAGUCCAUGCCGUAAACGAUGAGCAGCUAGG
rnacentral:rRNA from 1 species